GACCUGAACUCAGUCGAGAGCACCCGCU
rnacentral:rRNA from 2 species